AAUUCAGAAAAGUUGUUGAAUUUUCUCAAAAUCAGCAAACCCUAGCAUGAAGAAGAAGUUGUAUCUUCAACUGUAAUUUAAAGCAAGUUCUGGAUUCGAACAACUCAAUUGUACUUUCUCCUCACUCGUCUGCCAUUGUUGAACUCGCCGGAGUUGAACCGAGCUUUGAUACCAUGUUAAAGAGGCACAACCAUUGGAAAAUCAUAGAUGAAAUAGAGGAGGAAGAAGAGAGAAAGGGAGUUGCCUUUAAGAAAUAUCGAAUCUUAUUCAUCAUCAUGUACUGUACAAGUAUAUAUAUACAUACUAUCACUAACUACUAACUCCUUAACAAUAAAAUAACAGUUGUUGACAACUGUACACUAAUCCACUAACUAACUUCUAACAGUCCAACUAACUCUAAAAUAUAUAUACUUCUCAACAGUUACUGCAGAAAAAGAAUAACGGGAAUCAAACUGAAGAAGAUUACCUGAGCUAAAACCUAGUAAUUGAAGCCUUUAUGUAGAUGAUGCAAAAACUCGAAUCGUGUUCCUAUUAUUCAGACACAGAUAAAUAAAAUCAAUAGUAGUUUACCGUGAUAGAGCCAUGAAAGAGCAGAAGAGAGGAGAAGAAAUUGAAAAAAGGAACAUUGGAAGAGAACCGGAGAAGAUAAAGAACUCCAAACUUUAUUAAGCAGUGAGGCUAUACCCAAAAUUUUCUUAUUCUUAAGUAGGCUUAUCAACAAGAUCAGUGUCAAUAUCGGGCCGAGAUAGAAAAGCAUUUAGGCUCUAAAAAAG
rnacentral:lncRNA from 1 species